UACGGAGGGGGCUAGCGUUGUUCGGAAUUACUGGGCGUAAAGCGCGCGUAGGCGGAUCUGCAAGUCGGGGGUGAAAUCCUGGAGCUCAACUCCAGAACUGCCUUCGAUACUGGAGAGCUUGAGUCCGGGAGAGGUGAGUGGAACUGCGAGUGUAGAGGUGAAAUUCGUAGAUAUUCGCAAGAACACCAGUGGCGAAGGCGGCUCACUGGCCCGGUACUGACGCUGAGGUGCGAAAGCGUGGGGAGCAAACAGG
rnacentral:rRNA from 1 species